CUUUCCUGUCCGUAACAAGGAACAAAGCAACAACAAUGGCGACCGUGGAACAGUGUCUGCUAGAACAAAUGGACCUAGAUGACCAGAUGAUACGUUUAAUUAUGCUGGAAAAUCGAUCGAGAAGACGGCGGCGUGGAUGUACUUGUUCAGGGUCGCAGGGUGCUGGAGCCUAUCCAAGAUGACUUUGGGCGAAAAACAGCCAGGCACAUAUAGAGACGGACAACCAUUCACACGGUCACUGAGUGGGAACAACCCACACUGCCUGCACCGAAGUCAGGCAGUACAAGACAGAGAAACAGACAGACAGACAGAUGGCUAAACAGCUUGUCUUACCUCCUCACAGAGGAUAAAGAAUAUAUGAAAUACCAACAUCUUUACGCCUCAGAGGAGGUCUGCCUUUCGAGCCUGUCAACAACGGUGGAUGAAACAACCUCACCAAGAGACCAUGUGACUGGGUUGGUUGAAAACACUAUGCUCAAGAAAUUGGUAACAAGAAGUGAAUUACAACACGUAUGACAAAGGAGUCAUAUACAAACAGAAUUUAUA